rnacentral:rRNA from 1 species
GAUGAACGCUGGCGGCGUGCCUAACACAUGCAAGUCGAGCGAACAGACGAGGAGUUUGCUCCUCUGUCGUUUGCGGCGGACGUGUGAGACACAUGUGGAUAAUCCACCUAUAUUACUGAGAUAACUACGGGAAACCGGAGAUAACACCGGAUAAUAUAUUGAACCGUAGGGUUCUAUAGAGAUAUACGGUUUUGGUGUCACUAAUAGAUGGUUCCGCGCUGCAGUAGCUAGUUGGUAAGGUAACGGCUUACCAAGGCGAGGCUGCGUAGCCGACCUGAGAGGGUGAUCGGCCACACUGGAGCUGAGCCACGGUCCAGACUCCUGCGGGAGGCAGCAGUAGGGAAUCUUCCGCAAUGGGGGAAAGCCUGGCAGAGCAAGGCGGCGUGAGUGAUGGAGGUCUUCGGAGCGUGAAACUCUGUUAUUAGGGAAGAACAAAUGUGUAAGUAACUAUGCACGUCUUGACGGUACCUAAUCAGAAAGCCACGGCUAACUACGUG